AGUAAGGGGUCAAAAUUGGUCAAAAAAUGUCAUAGUAUAGUAAGGGGUCAAAAUUGGUCAAAAAAUGUCAUAGUAUAGUAAGGGGUCAAAAUUGGUCAAAAAAUGUCAUAGUAUAGUAAGGCAUGAAAAUUGGUCAAAAAAUGUCAUAGUAUAGUAAGGGGUCAAAAUUGGUCAAAAAAUGUCAUAGUAUAGUAAGGGGUCAAAAAUGGUCAAAAA